UAUCGUUGCCCUCCUUGGGCGUUUCCUCCCUAGACUUGGCCGCCAGCAAUGGCGGCCUUUUUCUUGGGCGCG
rfam:Rhodopseudomonas palustris BisA53, complete genome.